rnacentral:rRNA from 1 species
GAUCCUGGGUCAGGACGAACGCUGGCGGCGUGCCUAACACAUGCAAGUCGAACGGAACUUCUUUAAUUGAUUUCUUCGGAAUGAUUUUGAUUAAGUUUAGUGGCGGACGGGUGAGUAACGCGUGAGUAACCUGCCUCUGAGAGGGGAAUAACAUUCUGAAAAGAAUGCUAAUACCGCAUAACAUAUAUUUAUCGCAUGGUAGAUAUAUCAAAGAUUUAUCGCUUAGAGAUGGACUCGCGUCCG